rnacentral:rRNA from 1 species
UACGUAGGUGGCAAGCGUUAUCCGGAAUUAUUGGGCGUAAAGAGCGCGCAGGUGGUUGAUUAAGUCUGAUGUGAAAGCCCACGGCUUAACCGUGGAGGGUCAUUGGAAACUGGUCGACUUGAGUGCAGAAGAGGGAAGUGGAAUUCCAUGUGUAGCGGUGAAAUGCGUAGAGAUAUGGAGGAACACCAGUGGCGAAGGCGGCUUCCUGAUCUGUAACUGACACUGAGGCGCGAAAGCGUGGGGAGCAAACAGGAUUAGA